rnacentral:RNase_P_RNA from 1 species
CCAGGCGGCCGGGCGACCGCGGCUCUCUCACGAGGGGCGAGGAAAGUCCGGGCUCCACGAAACGAAGGUGCCGGGUAACGCCCGGCGGGGUCUCGCCCGAGGAAACUCGGGGGAUGGCUUCAGGGACAGUGCCACAGAAAGCAUACCGCCGGUCCUCGGGUCGGUAAGGGAGAAAGGGUGCGGCAAGAGCGCACCGCGGCUUCGGUAACGCGGCCGGCAUGGCAAACCCCACCUGGUGCAAGACCGAAUAGGGGUGGCACAUGGGCCUGUUUCGGCUCGUCACCCGGGUUGGUCGCUUGAGGCGCGGGGCAAUCCGCGUCCUAGAGGAAUGGUCGCCCAGGUGCCGCGAGGCACUGGACAGAACCCGGCUUACAGGCCGCCUGGUGUU